AGAGUUUGAUCCUGGCUACAGAACGAACGCUGGCGGCAGGCCUAACACAUGCAAGUCGAGCGAACCCUUCGGGGUUAGCGGCGGACGGGUGAGUAACGCGUGGGAAUAUGCCCUUCUCUACGGAAUAGUCUCGGGAAACUGGGGGUAAUACCGUAUACGCCCUUUGGGGGAAAGAUUUAUCGGAGAAGGAUUAGCCCGCGUUUGGAUUAGGUAGUUGGUGGGGUAAUGGCCUACCAAGCCUACGAUCCAUAGCUGGUUUGAGAGGAUGAUCAGCCACACUGGGACUGAGACACGGCCCAGACUCCUACGGGAGGCAGCAGUGGGGAAUCUUAGACAAUGGGGGCAACCCUGAUCUAGCCAUGCCGCGUGAGUGAUGAAGGCCCUAGGGUUGUAAAGCUCUUUCAGCUGGGAAGAUAAUGACGGUACCAGCAGAAGAAGCCCCGGCUAACUCCGUG
rnacentral:rRNA from 1 species